GGUGGGGGGAGGAGGAGCUGAAGAGUGAGUGACCAGGCACCCUCACCUCAACCUUUUGACCGAUAAAUGUCCUUUGCCUCCCUGUGAAGGGGGUGUUUCUGAUUCUGAGUCAGUGGACGAGGGUUCGGCUCCCAGCUCCUCAUUUCCACACACUUAGUGUGACAUUGGGGACUCUCUUUUGCCCCAGAUUUUCCAUCUGAAAGAUGGGGAGACAAUUACAGCUUCCUUGCAAGGUUGAUGGGGUGAUUAGAGAAGGAGUUUGCACGGGAUUCGGCCUAGAGGGAGGCCUCAGUAGCCUGCAGCUGUAUCACAACUAGCUUUUUAAAAACACUUAUUACUUUCAAUAAGGAAGGAGCGCUACUACUUCUUACUCUCUCAGUGCAGGAGACACUGAAAACCUCGGGGCAGAGAUGGGGACCUUGCCCCUCCCUGAAUCACGGCAGCCCCUAGAACACAGCGGCCUGCAAACAGUGAACAGUCAAGAAAGCAUUGUCAUCGUGGAUUUGAUGUGAACCAGCAGUGCGUACUCAGAAUCAAGAGGGCCAGUUGCUGGGUGCGGGGUGUAACUGUGCCUGGCACCCUGCAUCACGGAGCUGGUGGCUUUUCAUUAAAGCCCAUGAGCGACGGUGUGGGAAAGGCUUGCCCGUGCGGGCUUGGGUCAGAAUGAAUGACUCCCCGUGUCAAGCCACACUCAGGAAGUCACAGAUCUCCAGGCCUUCGUUUCUAGUCCUCCUUAAUCUGGAAGCUCCGCUGAAACCCGUUCAGCAUCAUAGCAUCAUAUAAGCCUCCAGUGACAGAUGGGUGGUAGCUGCACGUGAGACCAGGAAUGGAACCCAUGUCUCCUGCAUGGAAGGUGAGCAUUCUACCACUGAACCACAGUACCUCAUUCUUUAUUCCUGACACUCUGGCUUUCUGGCGACUUCUAACACUUGGACGGCGUUCCUACCUCUUCCUGGACAGAUGAUGGCAUUGUAGCACUUCCGUAGUAUCUUCCCUUGUCUGUUGAAUCAGCCAUGCCGGAGGCGGCUCAGGUCAGUGUUCACAUCCUGAGGGAAACCAACCAAUGCCACGAUCUCUGUAUUUUCUAAAAGGGAGGCAGGAGAGUCUUACAUCUACAGUCAAAAGUGGUCUGACCUCAUUGUAAUUCAGGCUUGAACUGUCCACCCCAAACUCUGUCCAGAGGCCAUUUCUCUAAUUCUGGAAGCAACAAUCUCCAGAGAGAAGCUUUCCAUCUGUGUUCUUAUGAAGCUAAGGCCUUAGUGCAGUUCGUUAUUUAUUAUAGCUCCUGCUUUAGGUUAAGCUAUGAUUUUUUUUUUUUUUGUCUGAUAUUAAGAAUUCAACCGGGUUGGUAUAAAAAUAGGCUUGGCAUCCGCUUCUGCAGAUUGACUCUUUGAACAGGAUAUUUUGGGGGAGGUUUAUAAUUAUUCCCAAAGUGCUUUCAUUCUUAGCCAAUACUUAAUAUCUGCUUUGGCUGUUCACACAAAUACUGCCUCUUAUCAGACAUGUCUGCGUAUCGUGUGUGGUCAAAGUCACCAAUAAUGAGGUAGGUCCUCGCAGGCUCUGCACGCAUGUUUUGGGCUGGAACGCUUGUCCCCAGAGGCCUGGAGAUGAGACAGGAGCUGUCAUCAUGUGGUACACGGAGUCUCACGUUCACAGCCAAUCCAAAGCCUCAGAACCGGGAGUUUGUGUGAGUGCUUUGAAAAAACAAAGAAAUUAGCAGGCAAAAUAACUGACAUUCCAACUGUCUCGUUGUCCUCCAGGGCAGUGACACCGUGCUUGAAGCAGGGUGAAGCAGCGAACACCCACGUGGGGUAGGGAGCUGGGCUUCUGAUUCUGUCUGGUUCAUCCUUUUACUGCAGGGCCGAGCUCCUCCUUCUCAGGCCUGGGACCCUCUGCUAGCAUGCAGGAUGGGAUCUGUCCUUCCAGCAGAGCAGAGGCAGCCCUGAGAGGCCACCUUGGAAGGUGAGCACUUCUGCAGAGCACAGCCCCACAAAGUGACAGGCUGCUCCGUCUGGAGGAAGGAAGUGGACCUUUGAUGCCAUCUCCCCUCCUUGCCCCCUGUUAAAGCAUUGUUAUUUAUUCCUAUAAAGGGGGAGAGUAGUUCCCUUCUUGGCAAUCCCUGGCCACUUGUGACCAUAUUAACAGAGGCUUUGUUGUUGUUAUUAACCCCUUGCUGUUGAGUCGAUUCUAACUCAUAGUGACCCUAUAGGAGAGAGUAGAACUGUCCCAUACGGUUUCCAAGGGGUCACGGGUGGAUUUGAACUGCUGACAUUUGAGUUUGCAGCCCAACAGCCCAGCUCUUAACCAUUGCCAUCAAGUCGUCCUCUAACUCACAGUGAUCGCACGCACAGUGGAACGAAGCCCCUGUCCCGGCCAUCUGCGUGAUUGGUUGCAUGCAGAUCGCACCAUUGUGAUCCAUAAGGUUUUUAUUGGCUAAUAUUUGGAAGUAGGUCACCAGGUCUUUCUUCCUAGUCUGUCUCAGUCUGGAAGUUCUGCUGAAACCUGUUGAGCAUCCCAGCAACAAGCAGCCCACCACUGACAGACGGCUGAUGACUGUGCACGAGGUGCGCUGGCUGAGAGCGGAACCUGGGACUCCCGCACGGAAGAUUCAUCCCUAACAAGAAAACCUAGAGGACGGGUGUAUGGCAUUUGGGGAAUACAGAAGCUUUUACCCACAGCCAGAAAGGACGCGCUGGCGUCCAGCCUCAGAGGCCAGGGGGCAGGGCGCAGGGGUGAACACUUGGAAAGCCUCUCCUCCUACCCUUAGCACUCUGAACAGGCUUCUGCCCCUCGGUGACUUUCUCUUCGUUCCUAAUCUGUGGUUUUGCUCCUGGCCUGUGACUCCCAGGCUCCGUGUCGGAAAAGGGACAGCAACGGAAGGAAAACAAGAACAGCAAACACAAUAUAAAUGAGCAGAGGUCCUUGGAGCCAGGUGAGAGUGCGACUUAGCCUCUGUGCCGGGAAGAGGUAACAACUGAAAAAUUGCUCCCCUUCACCCUGAAGGAUGAGUCUCCCUCAACCUUGUCUUGUUGGCACAUGACUCCUUCACCUCUUUUUAUUAACACUUAAGUAUUUGGGAAACCCUGGUGGCAUAACUGUUAAGAGCUACAGCUGCUCACCAAAAGGUCAGCAGUUCGAAUCCACCAGGCGCUCCUUGGAAACCCUAUGGGGCAGUUCUACUCUGUCUUAUAGGGUCACUAUGAGUCAGAAUCAACUCAAUGGCAACGAGUUUUUUUUACGUAUUUGAUAAUCUGAAGGGAAAAAUAAAUACAGAUUUCUAAGCCAGUUCUAGCAGACUCGGCUUGUCUGCAAAAAGCACUGAUGGUAUCUUCACGUCAGCGUGAGUGAGGCUGAUGAUGAAGGUGCAUGUGUACUUGCAAGGGUGAGAUGGACAGAAAGUCGCUGCAGAAGGGGUGUUGGUGAGCCCCUGGCCUGCAACUCUGGGUUCUUAGUGCUCUCUAAAGAAAAGGCAACGUCUUCACACAUCUUCUCCGUCGGAAUAUCAGCUCUGUGCGGUGCGGAGCCUUGUUAGUUUGUUUACCGCUUCGUCUUCAGCUCGGUGGCUGGCUCCUGACUGAAAGACUGAUGGUUCAAGCCCGCUCAGAGGCCCACAGAUGAGAGGCCUGGUGAUCUACUUGCAAUCAAUCGGCUGUUGAAAAGCAUGGAGCACCAUUCUACUCGGACACACAUGGGGUCCCCAUGAGUGGGAAUCAACUCCAUGGUGACCGUCUUUUUCCCCCACAGCACCUAGGACAGGGCCUGGAGGUGCUCAGCAAACACUCCAUGAAUGAAGGGACACAUGAUGACUGCCGUCACUCAGAUCUGAAAGGAGAAAAGUAAGAAGGCCGUCACCCCCCCGGCACUGCCAAACCACCUCAUCUUCUUUCCACGCCUCCUGAUUUCUGUCCCUGUUACCUUCAUCAUUGAAGGGGUGUGUGUUUGGAAGCUCUGGGUCAUUUUGAUUCUUCUUUCUUCCACUGCUUGUCAUAUUCCGUAUUUUCCUGGCCUACCAAACCAAAAAAAAGAAAACAAACAAAAAACAUUGCCAUCUAACAUGUUUUUCAAAGUAGAGCUGAGCUCCACAGGGUUUUCUUGGUUGUAAUCUUUACAGAAGCAGGUCUCAGGCCUUUAUUCUGCUGCACCACAGGGUGGGUUCAAACCACCAACCUUUCGGGUUAGUGGCUGAGUGCAAACCGUUUGCACUGCCUGGUCUACAGUGUCCUUUCCGUUCUCUCCAUGCGGUCCUGGGGCUGGUCCCCUUGCCUAGGCUGCUGCUGCAGCCUCCUCCUGGGUUUCCCUGCCUCACGGUGCAUCCUGCAGGCCAGCGCCAGCCCACGCUCCCUCUGGUACAGCCACUACCAUGUCCUUGCUGCUCCAGAGUUUGCAGGCUCCUUGUCCAUGGAAUGAAGUACGGGUGCCUCAUGGAGGCACAUGAAGGAUUGUGGAGCCCAAACUCACGUUCUCAGCCUUGCCUUCUCUGGGUACAUGGCAUUUUGAUGGGCUGGAGACGUUUGACAUGGCCUAAAGGACAAAAAAGUCCAAAUCAUUAAACUAUUAAAUAAGGCCUACAACGGUCAGCCUUACUGUUGCUGGCUGCUGGGCUUCCUCCCUUCCAAAGACAAUGCAGACUCUUCCCCCACACCGGCCCUCCCUCUCCACCCUUUCCCUUCCUGAUUUUUCCUUAAUUUGACUAGAAAACACUCGAUGAUGGAUGGGAAAUUGGACUUGGACUUUUCAUGUCUGCUCCCUGCGGAGUUGCUGAUCCUUAAAUUUAGAUGACCGCCACACCCCGGUCAGCGCUGACAGCCGCUUCUGUGUCUGAAAGCCUGUUGUGGCCCAUUUCCUGUAUAAUUGGCCAUUAAGAAUCAAAACCGGUCAUCUGUUCAGCUAGAUAUAUAUAAUUUUCCAAUUCAUAACACUUAAAAUAGUAAUCUCGAACUAUUUUGUUAAUUUUUAAUAUGCUCUGUCUGUGCAACUGGACACCAGUUCUUGAGACCUACUCAGACUUCCCAUUAUUCAGGAGCCUGGCCAAGCCCCGAAAGGCUUUUUUCCAUCUCGUAGACUUUUAUUCCAGCUGUGGGAUACCAUCAAUUCCAUCUGAUUACUCACUUCCCUGUUUUGUUCACACUUAGUCAUCAACCAAUUUUAUUAAAAAUGGUGACUGACCCAACUUGCUAUUACACGUGAAGGUGGUUUACCUUCAGCAUCUGCGUGGGGAGGACUGUCUUCUGAAAUCCUUUAAUUUUAAUUUUUUCCCCAUAGAACAGGUGUGAAUAAUGAGUAAGAAGAGUGGGAGAUUGUCCUUCUUUAUAUAUUCUUCAAUAUUUUUCUUUAAAAGGAACGUGUUAUUCUACUUCUUAAUCUGUGUUGCUGUGUUUUAGUAGCUUUUGAAAACUUUGUGUGUGUAUAUAUACAAAGUGUUUAUGUACAUAAAUAUACAUUAUAUAUGUAUAUAUAAGGGAGCCCUGGUGGUGCAAUGGUUAAGCAAGCCAAAAGGUCUGCAGUUUCAAUCCACCAGCCACUCCUUGGAAACCCCAUGGGGCAAUUCUGCUCUGUCCUACAGGGUCACUAUGAGUCAGAAUCAACUCGACAGCAAUGGGUUAUGAAUAUAAUAUAUAUUUUUUAUAUAUGUAAAUAAAAUAGAGAUCAAGCAUACUUAUUAAAAACCAUAAAUUAAAGUCUAUUCCCCAAUCAGAUAUUUAAAUGAAAUACUAGAUGUUUAAAAAAAAUCUUUUCAAUUAGAUUUUUCUCCCCAAAAUUUCUUUUGUGCCUGAGGGUCAAAAAAAACUCUCGAAGUGUAAUUUUGCAGUCUGCCGUUUAUUAUGAUGUCGUUUCAAGCACCUUAUAAUAGGUUUCUGACCUGUGCAUAGAGGCAUACAUAAGAAGAAAGAACAUUCAGCUUUGAGCUGUUAAUUUGCACACAAAGUACUUAAUCACAUAGGACACAAUCGUUGCUCAAAAUCCAUAGGAUCGGCUAAUGUCAAACUUGCUUGUCAUCAAAGAUGGUCGAAGUGGAGCAGAGCCUGCCUGAGUGGAUGAUGGUGGUAAUUUUGGACCCUGUGCUUAUAUUUUACAUAGAUUUUUCUCACUUCAUCCUUCUAGUAAACUUAUGAGGUGGGUAUGAUGACAAUCCCCAUUUGCCAGAUGAGAAAACUGAGCUGAGGCUCAGAGAGCCUGGGCACCUUGCCCAGGGCUGCCCAGCUAUAGAGCCUGGUCUCCUGACUCCAGCUGGGCCCCAGCUCCUCUCCACUGGGCCAUCCUGUCUUGCCACGCUGAGAGUUGGCCAGGCUGCUCUUCUCACUUCAGCCAGGUACACGUUCUCCAGAAAUCACAGCUUCUCACCACAAUACUGCAGUGUCAUGGAUCACUUUUGUGCGGUCCUUCUCGUCAUGGUCUUGUAACUCCCACCCAAGUGACUGGGCGGGACUGUGCAGAUAGGGUAAUUGUGGCCCACCAAGGGGCUUGGUCUGUUUUGCCACCCCACUGAGCUUGAAAUGAGCCACCUCAGAGGUGGGAAGGACAGGAUUUCACCACCGCCAAGGAAGAAUGGCCAGGAGCAGAGGGCGCGUCCUUUGGACUCUGGAUCCCUGCUUUGAGAACCUCCUGGACCCAGGAGACUGAGAGAGACAAUGAGCUGUAACCCUGAAGACAGAGAGAAGCAGUGGCAGGAGAGACAGGCAGGAGACCUUGCAGUGGGCUUCCCAGGCCACAGAGCAAGAAAGCUGAGUGCCUGGGAUGUCUCUGGGGACUUACUGGCAGGGGCUAAAAGAGCUUUGUAACAUUCGCCUGAGCGGGGCAGAGGCCUAAAGAAGUGUGCCUGCAAGCACAGCUGAAAAGAGGUGGUCCUGAUGAAAAAACUAUACAUCCUGAGUGUUCCUGAGCCUGAAUUGUAACCUGUUGCUUUCCUAAUAAACUCCAUAAUUGUGAGUAUGGUCUGUGAGUUCUGUGUGGCCAUCACCAAGAAUUAUCGAACCCAGUAGAAAGUGCUAUGGGAGGAAUGGUUGGGGUUAGAAUUGGUAAAGAUGGCGGAGAGAGGAGGCAUGUCUGACCUCCAUCUCGUAGGAAUCACCCUUGGGCUGUUGAUCUUGAUUCUCCUUCCGCCUUGGGAAGCUAGAGGCGGUCAGACACCGCCCCCAAACCAUUUUUACAAGUAAGACUCCUGAGGAAGCAUUCCUUACCAAAUAAUGAAUUUGGAGAUUUGGGGAACACGUGUUGAUGAUCACAGGCAUCAGAACUAUAGAACUUCAGUGGUCCCCUGUAGACUGUAAGCUCCUUGGGGGACAGGACACACGUUUACCUUCAUUUUAUCAUUCCCACCCAGCCCCUAGCCCAGUGUCAUGCACAUGGCAGUGCUCAGCUGAGGAAGAUGCUAGCUCAGUGAAGAGAGUACCAGCUUGCAAGGUCAAUUCCGGAGUCAGAGCACCUGGUUGAACUUGGCUCUGCUCUUGGCUGAGUGACAUUAGGCAAGUCACCUAACCUGUCUGAGUCUCCACAUUCUCGUCUCUAAAGAUGAAGACAAAAUCUGCUUCCUGUGGUGGUUGUGAAAACAAGUGAGAAAAUUAUUGUGAAAGUGUUCUGUAAACUGUAAUUAUUACAAAUAUAAGCAAGGAAGCAACUUCCAGUCGAAAGGAAUUGCAGAGACCUCCAGAUACUCCAGGCCCUGGCCCAGGCCUCCUUGUCAUCCUAGGGACCCCAAUUUCUGAGUCUAAAUUGGGCACAUUCCCUGGGAAGGUUGAGGAUAAAGAUGAUUGGGAAAUGUUAAAGGAACUCCAAGUCAAAACUCCACACAGCUGAGUAUUCAGCUGGCCCUCCUCUGGGGUGGCAGGAACUGGAAGUUCUAACAUUAACUGUUGCUCACUGUGUGCUGGCCACAUGUCCAGACCUUUCUCACUACCAGGUGAGGUAAGUGCUACUAUUCUCCCCCAUUUUAUAGUUGAAGGAACUGAAGUGUACGGCAGCUGUGGGGUUUCCUCUAGGUCAGGUAGCAAGGAGGUAGAAAGGGAGCAUCUAGAUACCAACUAGUGAAGUCUACCUGCUGAGUCCACACCCCUGACCUGGGGGCUAAGGAUCACCUGGCUGUAAGCUGAGAAAGCUUUAGGGCUUUUGUAGGGUUGGGAGAGCUCUGUGUUCUACCCUCUGGGGUCCAGUUCUGUGGGGUAUGGCACCGCUACAGAGGUCACCCACUCAUUAAAAAUAAACCUGCCUCUGCAUCCCUCCUUUAUGUUAAUGAGACAGACAGAAGUGGGACUCUUCCACUUGGAUUGUCCUUCAUGAGGGGUGGGUCAAGUCCAUGGUCAGCCCCCGAAAAGGUGAUCCUCUUGAGGGAUUUCUGAGUGCAAGCUGGGGUGCCUCAGACAGAGGGGAGGGCUGGCUCGGCCUGGGAGAGAGAAGACUGGUUGACUCAGGUGGGAGGCUGGGCUCUGCCUGAGGGAAGGGCCUAAGGGGAGGGUUUUGAUUUUGGCUUUUUACUGAGGUAAAAUUAACACAAGAUUACCAAAACCAAACCAAACCUAUUACCAUCGAGUCAAUUCUGACUCAUAGCAACCCUAUAGGACAGAGGAGAACUGCCCCAUAGGGUUUCCAAGGAGUGGCUGGUGGAUUCAAACUGCCAACCUUUUGGUUAGCAGCCGAGCUCUUAACCACUGCGCCACCAGGACUCCAAACAAUUCAGUGGCAUUUGGGGCACUCACAAUGGUGUGCAACCAUCACCACUGUCUAGCUCCAAAACAUUUUCAUUACCCCCAAAGAAGACCUCGUGAGGGGAGCUUUGGAAGUUGUGAGCUGUGAACCAACCAAA